rnacentral:rRNA from 1 species
GACGAACCGUACGAACGUUAUUCGGAAUCACUGGGCUUAAAGGGUGCGUAGGCGGCGCGACAAGUUGGGUGUGAAAUCCCUCGGCUCAACCGAGGAACUGCGCCCAAAACUGUCGUGCUCGAGGGAGACAGAGGUGAGCGGAACUUAGGGUGGAGCGGUGAAAUGCGUUGAUAUCCUAAGGAACAACGGUGGCGAAAGCGGCUCACUGGGUCUCUUCUGACGCUGAGGCACGAAAGCUAGGGUAGCGAACGGG